CCUUAUGAGCCUCCUUUCCUGCAGCUGUCACUUGUGCAUUAAUGGUCCACCACAAAGACUAUCUAAAAGAAGAUGUAGUUGAUCUAAUGAGCAGGUAGAAACGAAACCUUGAGACAGCAAGUUUGUUGCAAACAAGACUCAUGGACAGGUGUUUUAUCAUAAAAUAGUUGAUACCUUUUUAAUUUGUACAAAUGUAUCCCAAAGCCUUGGUGGGCCCCGACUUGUAUUAUGGGAGGCAGAACACUCUUGAUGUUUGUGGUCGAGCAAUGUUAGAGAGUUUCCAUUGAGGUCUUUAAAGAGACCUGUGAGUGAGAAGAUAAAAACCAUUACACCAUUGCAGAUACGGAUAUCUACAAGGUUUAGUUUAAUCUUUCUACUUUUUCUACAAAAUGAUUGGACUGUUCAUUUGUGGAGGAUGAUCUCUGACCUUGAGAUCAAUUCAAGGAAGGGUGAAUGUUAACCCCGAUGUCAACAUUGAAGAACUUGCUCGUUCUACAGAUGAUUGUAAUGGAGCACAACUGAAGGCUAUAUGUGUUGAGGCUGGCUUGUUGGCUCUGGGCUGUGAUGCAAUUGAGGUAGGACCAGAUGCAUACUAUGGAACCAACAUCAUGUAACGAUGUUGUUGUCGAGACAUAAUACAGAAUCUUUUUUGCUCUUACAGUGAGAAGACUUCAUCUCCUUCCACAAAGGUCAACAAUGGCAUUGCUGCCUCAGAGAAACCAUGCUGCCAGCCAAAAAUCCCAACAAAUAGAGGAAUAUGUUUAUUUUCGGUAUUAAUUAUGUUCAUGUUGUAAAAUAAUUACAACAACACCAUCUUUUUAUUGCCACAGCUCCUUGUAUGUUGUUCUCCUUGUUGGCACUUAGAAGGCUAAUGCAGUGCAUCCAAUGGUUACUGUUGAGGGCUUUGUUCUUGGGUUGCUCAAAAAGACUGUCUUGUCCUUGCUGCAACAGGAUCUGGUUUUGUUCUUUAAGUAUUCAAUAAUUUUGCCUUAGGACAUGUUUGGAUAAUUUUUUCUUGAAACACUUUUAAAAGAGAAAAAUAGGAAAUAAAAAUGAAAUAAACUUUCCCAUAAACUAAAACUGACUCAUGCAUGAAAGAAAAGAAGAUUUUGAAAAAGCUAAUAAGAAAGAACUUCUACAAUAUGGCUUAUGCAUAAGUUAAUUUUAGUUUAUUUCAUAUUUACUUCUUAACUUGCUACACUUAAAGUACUGCCAGAGAAGUUAUACCAAGAGACCGUUACUUACCAUGUAGCGUAGCUUUUGUGCAUUUGUUUUUAAUUAUACUUUUGGCACAGGGAAGUCUCUAUGCUUUCAGAUUCCUGCAUUGUUGUCUUGGAAAGUGGUGGUUGUGAUUUUGCCCUUGAUAAGCUUCAUGCAUGACCAGUGUUUAAAACUAACAAAACAUGGAAUCAAUGCAUGCUUUCUUGGCUCGGGGCAACCUGAUGAUACUGUUGAACGUAAAGUAAUGAGAGGCUUGUAUAGUAUAUAGUUUUGGUGUGCCCAAAGACUGUGUUGAGAUCGAUUCAACCACUGCAGAAGCUUGUUGAAAGUCGUGGUAUUGCUUUUUUCGCAAUUGACGAGGUACAUUGUGUUUCUAAAUGGGGUCAUGAUUUCUGUCUAGACUACAGGUCUGUUUUUUGUCCCUUAUUGUUUGUGGCUUGCUGAGGCUAGCUGGAGUGACGAGUUUACUUGGAGCUUCUUAAAUGAUUGUAAAUGUAAAUUGUGGUUUGCAUAUUGGUGAGAUUUAGAUCAGUUAUUGGUUAUUUUGAUUGGAUAUCAUGCAUAUUUCAUUUGUUCUUUGUUUGGUGCACACAUUACAAUUUAUUUAAUGUUUUUAGUCUACUAUGAAUGUCAUAAGUAUGACCUAUUUUAAAAUUGUUUUUUUUUUUG